CCUACGUGAGGCAGCAGUGGGGAAUAUUGCACAAUGGGGGGAACCCUGAUGCAGCGACGCCGCGUGGGUGAAGAAGUCAUUCGUGACGUAAAGCCCUAUCAGCAGGGAAGAAAAUGACGGUACCUGACUAAGAAGCCCCGGCUAACUACGUGCCAGCAGCCGCGGUAAUACGUAGGGGGCAAGCGUUCUCCGGAUUUACUGGGUGUAAAGGGAGCGUAGACGGCGGCGCAAGUCCGGAGUGAAAGCCCACGGCCCAACCGUGGGACUGCUCUGGAAACUGUGCGGCUUGAGUGCGGGAGGGGCAGGCGGAAUUCCUAGUGUAGCGGUGAAAUGCGUAGAUAUUAGGAGGAACACCGGCGGCGAAGGCGGCCUGCUGGACCGUAACUGACGUUGAGGCUCGAAAGCGUGGGGAGCAAACAGGAUUAGAUACCCGUGUAGUC
rnacentral:rRNA from 1 species